UACGGAGGGUGCAAGCGUUGUCCGGAAUCACUGGGCGUAAAGGACGCGUAGGCGGCUCAUGAAGGCUGUGGUGAAAGUCCGGGGCUCAACCUCGGAUCGGCCGUGGCGACUCGUGGGCUGGAGCACUGUAGAGGCGGGUGGAAUUCCGGGUGUAGCGGUGGAAUGCGUAGAGAUCCGGAAGAACACCAGUGGCGAAGGCGGCCCGCUGGGCAGUGGCUGACGCUGAGGCGCGACAGCGUGGGGAGCAAACAGG
rnacentral:rRNA from 1 species